UACGGAGGGUGCAAGCGUUAUCCGGAUUCACUGGGUUAAAGGGUGCGUAGGUGGGUUGGUAAGUCAGUGGUGAAAUCUCCAGGCUUAACUUGGAAACUGCCAUUGAUACUAUCAAUCUUGAAUACCGUGGAGGUCAGCGGAAUAUGUCAUGUAGCGGUGAAUGCUUAGAUAUGACAUAGAACACCAAUUGCGAAGGCAGCUGGCUACACGAAUAUUGACACUGAUGCACGAAAGCGUGGGGAUCAAACAGG
rnacentral:rRNA from 1 species